GACGGAGGGUGCUAGCGUUGUUCGGAAUUACUGGGCGUAAAGGGCGCGUAGGCGGCUUUGGUAGUCGGGUGUGAAAGCCCGGGGCUCAACCCCGGAACGGCACCCGAUACUCCGAGGCUCGAGACCGGGAGAGGAGGGUGGAAUACCCAGUGUAGAGGUGAAAUUCGUAGAUAUUGGGUCGAACACCGGUGGCGAAAGCGGCUCUCUCGGCCCGGUUCGUGACGCUGAGGCGCGAAAGGCGUGGGGAGCAAACAGG
rnacentral:rRNA from 1 species